rnacentral:lncRNA from 1 species
AUGGAUAAGAAUCCAGUUAAUGUGGGGGCGGCUGAAUCAUCGCCUCUGUCUGUUAAAGCCUCUUCUGUUAGUAGGCCUAGUUGCCCUAGAUGUCAGAAGCCAGGUCAUUUGGAAUCUAACUCCAUAAAUAGAGUCCGCUGUGCAGCUUGCUCUAAACUUGAUCAUCGGGCUUCAGUGUGCUGGAACCAAAAGUCUGAAAAGAAAGUCUGGGUUCGCAAGCCCAAGGCUAAAAAGCCCAUUGGUUCAGUUAUUGCUUCUUCUAGUCGGAGGCCCGCAACUGAUAGUUUGGUUGUUUCGUGGAAGUCGCUGGAGGAAGAGCAUAAUAUUUUAGUUGGCAUCGUUUCGUGCCUUAAUUAUAGGCAGUUGCAGCCUGACGCUUCUUCUUCCUCUCUUCCUCUCGCUCUCCGCCCAAAUCCAAUCUAUAGUGCUCCAAAAACCCCAAUGGCCAACAUCAAUCCGGAUCCUACUCCAUUCGUCCCGCCGACGAUGGCGAUCAAUGAUGCUUGGCUUCACUGUCUCCCUCGUGCAGAUUUGAUCAUCAUGGAUGAACCUCCCAAGAAGCAUGAAGGUAUCGCAGUUGCCAUUCUUGAACCCCCUCCCAAGAAGCAAGAGCAUUUUGUCCUUGUGGUUUACUACGUUCAAAACACUCUGGGUUAUCAUGUGUUGGACACCAGUAGGCAUGCAUCUGAGUUUGCUUUUAUUCACAUUGCCUCGGCUGUGCUUAGAGAUGCUCUAGUAUUGGGAGGGCCAUAUGAUGUCAAUGAACAGAUUACCCUAAGAUUUGUCAACCAUGAUAACACCUCCACUUGCCACAAUUCCCCUCCAAUUAGAGAGGGUUGGGUGAUGUUCUUAGAUUUCCCUCUAGACCUACAAACCGACAGAAUUGUGGACAAACCAGUUGUGGACCAAGGUUCAGAGGCAGGGUUCUUGCGAAGGUCAUUUACUCCAUGGUUGAGGAGGUCCCUCUCUAAGGUGGUGAUUAAGAAGUACUCAAGCUUUGGAGAUGUCCAGCCUGCAGAUGAGGAUCUGCCACUUGUGAACCACAUUCCCUUGCCAGAACCAUCUCCUGUUCCUCAACAAGCUAAUGUUUGGGGAAAUGCAGAUGAAGACAUAGGUGAGAAUGAUGAAGAAGAACUUUCUCACAAUGUCAGUGCUGUCUCCCAGCAGGACUCAGGGGAAUGGCAAAUUUUCCCUGCCCAUCAAGUGGCACCUACUAUUUCUUUGGAUGUUGCAAUGGGGCCACUGGUCAGCCAGACUGAGGAAGUUGUGCCUUCAUUCAUUGUUUACCCUCAGUUUUGGAAACUGCUCAGCAUUUGUAGGACUCUCCUGUGUGGGCCAAGAUUGCUUGGGCCUCAGCCCAUGUCAUCUGAUGUAGUCCCAUACCAGCUGCCUGUCCAUCAUGUUUUUCAAUUUGCCAUGCUAGCUUCUGCAUUGAUAUGGGCCAAAGAAAACUGGGUCAGCCAACAAGUUAUUUCAGUCCAACCGAUUCAAGCUAUCCAUCCUCAACACACAGUUUCAGUGUUGAAUCUUCUCCUGGACCCAUUCCAACAAGAUGUCUCUCCUGCUCUACCCCCAAGGCCCAAAAGGAGGACUGGGAAGUUGAUUUUGUUGGAUUCAGAAAUACGGAGAAGUGAAAGAAUUAACAAGCUUUCUGAUGGAUUUAUGUCCCCUGACCCAAAUUUGGGUGUGGGAAAGCCAAGGGGAAAGGCUAGGGCAAAGAGCUCCAAGAAGCUUAAAAUGCUGGCUCAAGAAAGUGGUAUCUUGCUCUCUCUCAACCCUUUGCCUUUGGAACUUAAUGAUCGUAUUGCUUAAGAUGAUGAGA